GGUUAAGCGACUAAGCGUACACGGUGGAUGCCCUGGCAGUCAGAGGCGAUGAAGGACGUGCUAAUCUGCGAAAAGCGCCGGCGAGGUGAUAUGAACCUUUGACCCGGCGAUGUCCGAAUGGGGAAACCCAGUGCAAUUCGUUGCACUAUCGUUAACUGAAUACAUAGGUUAACGAGGCGAACCGGGGGAACUGAAACAUCUAAGUACCCCGAGGAAAAGAAAUCAACCGAGAUUCCCCCAGUAGCGGCGAGCGAACGGGGAGCAGCCCAGAGUCUGAAUCAGCUUGUGUGUUAGUGGAAGCGUCUGGAAAGUCGCACGGUACAGGGUGACAGUCCCGUACACGAAAGCACACAGGUUGUGAACUCGAAGAGUAGGGCGGGACACGUGGUAUCCUGUCUGAAUAUGGGGGGACCAUCCUCCAAGGCUAAAUACUCCUGACUGACCGAUAGUGAACCAGUACCGUGAGGGAAAGGCGAAAAGAACCCCGGCGAGGGGAGUGAAAAAGAACCUGAAACCGUGUACGUACAAGCAGUGGGAGCACCUUCGUGGUGUGACUGCGUACCUUUUGUAUAAUGGGUCAGCGACUUAUAUUCUGUAGCAAGGUUAACCGUAUAGGGGAGCCGAAGGGAAACCGAGUCUUAACUGGGCGUUAAGUUGCAGGGUAUAGACCCGAAACCCGGUGAUCUAGCCAUGGGCAGGUUGAAGGUUGGGUAACACUAACUGGAGGACCGAACCGACUAAUGUUGAAAAAUUAGCGGACGGGGGUAGAGCACUGUUUCGGCUAGGGGGCCAUCCCGGCUUACCAACCCGAUGCAAACUACGAAUACCGAAGAAUGUUAUCACGGGAGACACACGGCGGGUGCUAACGUCCGUCGUGAAGAGGGAAACAACCCAGACCGCCAGCUAAGGUCCCAAAGUCAUGGUUAAGUGGGAAACGAUGUGGGAAGGCACAGACAGCCAGGAUGUUGGCUUAGAAGCAGCCAUCAUUUAAAGAAAGCGUAAUAGCUCACUGGUCGAGUCGGCCUGCGCGGAAGAUGUAACGGGGCUAAACCAUGCACCGAAGCUGCGGCAGCGACGCGUAUGCGUUGUUGGGUAGGGGAGCGUUCUGUAAGCCGUUGAAGGUGUGCUGUGAGGCAUGCUGGAGGUAUCAGAAGUGCGAAUGCUGACAUAAGUAACGAUAAAGCGGGUGAAAAGCCCGCUCGCCGGAAGACCAAGGGUUCCUGUCCAACGUUAAUCGGGGCAGGGUGAGUCGACCCCUAAGGCGAGGCCGAAAGGCGUAGUCGAUGGGAAACAGGUUAAUAUUCCUGUACUUGGUGUUACUGCGAAGGGGGGACGGAGAAGGCUAUGUUAGCCGGGCGACGGUUGUCCCGGUUUAAGCAUGUAGGCGGAGGUUCCAGGUAAAUCCGGUACCUUUUAACGCUGAGGUGUGAUGACGAGGCACUACGGUGCUGAAGUAACAAAUGCCCUGCUUCCAGGAAAAGCCUCUAAGCAUCAGGUAACACGAAAUCGUACCCCAAACCGACACAGGUGGUCAGGUAGAGAAUACCAAGGCGCUUGAGAGAACUCGGGUGAAGGAACUAGGCAAAAUGGUGCCGUAACUUCGGGAGAAGGCACGCUGAUAUGUAGGUGAAGCCCCUGCGGGUGGAGCUGAAAUCAGUCGAAGAUACCAGCUGGCUGCAACUGUUUAUUAAAAACACAGCACUGUGCAAACACGAAAGUGGACGUAUACGGUGUGACGCCUGCCCGGUGCCGGAAGGUUAAUUGAUGGGGUUAGCGGCAACGCGAAGCUCUUGAUCGAAGCCCCGGUAAACGGCGGCCGUAACUAUAACGGUCCUAAGGUAGCGAAAUUCCUUGUCGGGUAAGUUCCGACCUGCACGAAUGGCGUAAUGAUGGCCAGGCUGUCUCCACCCGAGACUCAGUGAAAUUGAACUCGCUGUGAAGAUGCAGUGUACCCGCGGCAAGACGGAAAGACCCCGUGAACCUUUACUAUAGCUUGACACUGAACACUGGUCCUUGAUGUGUAGGAUAGGUGGGAGGCUUUGAAGCGUGGACGCCAGUCUGCGUGGAGCCGUCCUUGAAAUACCACCCUUUAAUGGCUGGUGUUCUAACGUAGACCCGUAAUCCGGGUUGCGGACAGUGUCUGGUGGGUAGUUUGACUGGGGCGGUCUCCUCCCAAAGAGUAACGGAGGAGCACGAAGGUUAGCUAAUCCUGGUCGGACAUCAGGAGGUUAGUGCAAUGGCAUAAGCUAGCUUGACUGCGAGAGUGACGGCUCGAGCAGGUGCGAAAGCAGGUCAUAGUGAUCCGGUGGUUCUGAAUGGAAGGGCCAUCGCUCAACGGAUAAAAGGUACUCCGGGGAUAACAGGCUGAUACCGCCCAAGAGUUCAUAUGAACGUCGUGAGACAGUUCGGUCCCUAUCUGCCGUGGGCGCUGGAGAAUUGAGGGGGGCUGCUCCUAGUACGAGAGGACCGGAGUGGACGCAUCACUGGUGUUCGGGUUGUCAUGCCAAUGGCACUGCCCGGUAGCUAAAUGCGGAAAAGAUAAGUGCUGAAAGCAUCUAAGCACGAAACUUGCCCCGAGAUGAGUUCUCCCUGACCCUUUAAGGGUCCUGAAGGAACGUUGAAGACGACGACGUUGAUAGGUCGGGUGUGUAAGCGCAGCGAUGCGUUGAGCUAACCGAUACUAAUGAACCGUGAGGCUUAACCUU
rnacentral:rRNA from 1 species